rnacentral:rRNA from 1 species
UACGAAGGGGGCUAGCGUUGCGCGGAAUCACUGGGCGUAAAGCGCACGUAGGCGGAUCUUUAAGUCAGGGGGGAAAUCCCAAGGCUCAACCUUGGAACUGCCUUUGAUACUGGGGAUCUCGAGUCCGGAAGAGGUGAGUGGAACUGCGAGUGUAGAGGUGAAAUUCGUAGAUAUUCGCAAGAACACCAGUGGCGAAGGCGGCUCACUGGUCCGGUACUGACGCUGAGGCACGAAAGCGUGGGGAGCAAACAGG